ACGGGGGGGGCAAGCGUUGUUCGGAAUUACUGGGCGUAAAGGGCGCGUAGGCGGUUUGCUAAGUUGGAUGUGAAAACUCUGGGCUCAACCCAGAGCCUGCAUCCAAAACUGGCAGGCUAGAGUUCUGGAGGGGAUAGCGGAAUUCCUGGUGUAGCGGUGAAAUGCGUAGAUAUCAGGAGGAACACCGGUGGCGAAGGCGGCUAUCUGGACAGAGUCUGACGCUGAGGCGCGAAAGCUAGGGGAGCAAACAGGAUUAGAAACCCCCGUAGUCC
rnacentral:rRNA from 1 species